rnacentral:snRNA from 1 species
AAACUUACUUGGCUGGGGGUGCGGCACGAUCAAGAAGGUGCCGACUCCACAGUGAGACCCUCCCAUUGCACUUUGGGGACGGUUGACCUGUGUGACAGCUCCGAGUCGGGGUUCGUCAACAGCUAAAUUUUUGCGUUUGAGGUCUUCGGGCCUCGAU